GUCUCUUCUUUGGUUGUUGGGGAAUCUUUCAUUGUAGUUAUCUAUGAUUCUCCUCCAAAAAGAAUCGCCCGAUUAGUCUUUGCCGUGUAUUGGAUCCUUUGAUGCAUCGACCCAACACUCUGUGAGAACUUUCAUCUCCAACUCGGUCCAAUUUGACGAGUUUCCAGCAGGAAUGGAUUGGGGUGUGGGUACAGAUUCGGGUGUGGGGAUAGAUGGUGGUGUGGGAAAGGAUUAUUGAUCGGGUUGUUGAAAACCUCUAGCCGAGAUGACUCUUCAUGGUAGAAAUUAGGGGGUUGUGGAGAUGCAAGUUGAUCAUAAUAAGCUGCCAUGAAUUGAUGAUAAUUAAUGGGGGACACUUGGAUGUGGAAUGAACGGUUAGGGUGGUGAUUGGUUUGGGAACGAUUGAUUCACAUCGUUCAAAGCGUUAAAGAAGUCUUCGACUCUUUGGUUGUUGAAGUUUGACAUGAUUUGUUGUUAAAAUGAAUUGGUAUGUGUUAAUAUAUAUGAAUUAUUAAA